CAGGGAGGAAGGGGCCAAGGUGCUGGCACCAAGUCACAACUACUGGAAAGUUUGAUAGGUCAUCUUUUGGGAGGAAAAAACCUACUAAUGUAUGAACCAUAAAAGCAAUACAAUCUGAAAGGUAAGGACAAACUGAUUAAAUUCCAUUAGUUAAAAGUAAAUGCAUUUAUUUUUGACUAGCAUGGUCCAGAGGCGGCCAGUCUGAAAUAUGAUCAAAAAUGUUAGCAUUUGCAAGAGGAGAGAAUGAGAAAGUUUCCCGCUAAAUGGGCUCUUCUGCCUCAUCCAACUGGGCUGUAACAACUCCUGGAUAUAAGGCAGGACAGGGAAUGAACUAAAUAUGAGAGAAGCUACAAAGGUGAAAUGGGAAGAAGGGCAUAGGCAAAGUCAUUCAUCUCCCUUGGUCACUAAACCCAUCAGUCCCCACAUUGGUACUGAAAUUUGCCCCACACAGAGGGACCCCUCUCUUCUGACUAUCAAUCCUUUUACAACACCAUAGAUUUAGAAUUAUUUCCACACUAUAUGGGUCUUUGCUGAAAGGUGACCAUCAUCACCAUUUAUGUCUGGGAAUCAUAGAAGGAUUGGUGUGAAACAGGACCUCCAAAGAUCAUCUAGUCCAACCUCCCUGCUCAAGUAGGUUCUCCUAUAGCAGGUUGCACAGGAUCAUGUCUGGGUGGGUUUUGAGUGUCUCCAGAGCAGGAGACUACACAGUCUCUCUGGGCUACCUCUUUCAGUGCUCUGUCACCCUCAAAGUAAACACAUGUUUUUUCUCAUACUCAGGAAUAAUGUCCUAUGUUUCAAUUUGUGCCUGUUGUCCCUUGUCCUGUUGCUGGGUAUCACUGAAAUGAGUCUGCUCCCAUCCUCUUGACACCUGCUCCUAAGCUCAGUAAUGUCCACCCUGACUGAUGUAAAGGACAGGAAGUCUGUGGUCUAAGCAAGCCAUCACCUGCUAGCCUGCACCUUCAGACUGACAUGCAGCUGAUCACUAAGCAUAAAGCAUAUACCAGAGAACCUCUUGCCUCAGAAAGGAACUGGAGCAGUCUACAACCAGCAUCUCACUACACAGCUUGAUUACACACAAAGACAGCAUGUAAUUUGCCAUUGGAGGUGUGACAUUCAGGAGCGGUACAAGAACAGAAUCCUUCCAAGACUGUUCAGACUUAAUCCAAAUUAUUUGCCUUUUCAGUCUCCUUAUUUUGCAGCUUUAAUCUGUAAACAUGAAUUUAGAUCCUAAAUAACUGAAGAAAGCCUUAGAAAUGAGCUGUCUUGGAAACAAAUGACUACCUUUAUAAACAAGUCUGCACUUGCAAGGCAAGGAACAAUUGCUACCUGCUCAGCUGUGUGAAGCCAAGUCAUGGCUUUACCUUUCUCAAAUGGUUGAGCUAUUCUACUUUCCUGUAAGUGAGGUUUGCAUUAGAUUUCCCUUCACUAUUCUUCUCCUUUGCAUUACUUUCUACCUCAGAGUAUUAAAACCAAGAACUCCAUCACACCAUAUGCUUGAUAGUUACCCAAGAACCUCAGCUAAGUUCUUACCAACACAGCAUAGAGAAUUAAUGCUGAAUAUCAAAGUACUUACAAAAAUGAAGUUCAUUUUAAGUAAAGUCCAUUAAAAGAUAAGUCCAUUUCUCAUCACACCAUGCAGCUCACCCUUCUCUGAAAAACCACCUGCCCCUUCGAUGACAAGAGCUGUGAGGAAAGCAACACCAUGAGGCAAGCAGCACAUUUCCUUCACUACUCAAAGGAAUAUUAUCAGCUCCACCAGCUACUGCUUUUUUAAUGGUAAAUGUUUUCCUCUUCAUUGCUUGUUUACAAAGCACAUGCUCAGAGGAGCCUGAUUUUUUUUUCAUUCUUCCUACUGCUUCCAGUUUGAGCAAUAGCUUCCACAAGGUCUACUAAUAAAACAGAUGCAAAUGUG